rnacentral:rRNA from 1 species
AGAGUUUGAUCCUGGCUCAGGACGAACGCUGGCGGCGUGCCUAAUACAUGCAAGUCGAACGCAAAACUUUUAACUGAUGCUUGCAUCGACCUAAAGUUUUGAGUGGCGGACGGGUGAGUAACACGUGGGUAACCUGCCCAUCAGAGGGGGACAACACUUGGAAACAGGUGCUAAUACCGCAUAAUACAGAGAACCGCAUGGUUCUUUGUUGAAAGGCGCUUCUGGUGUCGCUGAUGGAUGGACCCGCGGUGCAUUAGCUAGACGGUGAGGUAACGGCUCACCGUGGCAAUGAUGCAUAGCCGACCUGAGAGGGUGAUCGGCCACAUUGGGACUGAGACACGGCCCAAACUCCUACGGGAGGCAGCAGUAGGGAAUCUUCGGCAAUGGACGAAAGUCUGACCGAGCAACGCCGCGUGAGUGAAGGAGGUUUUCGGAUCGUAAAACUCUGUUGUUAGAGAAGAACAGGAGCGAUAGUAACUGCUCGCUCUUUGACGGUAUCUAACCAGAAAGCCACGGCUAACUACGUGCCAGCAGCCGCGGUAAUACGUAGGUGGCAAGCGUUGUCCGGAUUUAUUGGGCGUAAAGCGAGCGCAGGCGGUCUCUUAAGUCUGAUGUGAAAGCCCACGGCUUAACCGUGGAGGGUCAUUGGAAACUGGGAGACUUGAGUGCAGAAGAGGAAAGUGGAACUCCAUGUGUAGCGGUGGAAUGCGUAGAUAUAUGGAAGAACACCAGUGGCGAAGGCGGCUUUCUGGUCUGUAACUGACGUUGAGGCUCGAAAGCGUGGGGAGCAAACAGGAUUAGAUACCCUGGUAGCCCACGCCGUAAACGGUGGAUGCUGGAUGUGGGGCCCGUUCCACGGGUUCCGUGUCGGAGCUAACGCGUUAAGCAUCCCGCCUGGGGAGUACGGCCGCAGGGCUAAAACUCAAAGGAAUUGACGG